GAAGAAUUUCCUCUACAGAAUUACAUUGUCAAGGAAGGCAAAAUAGCAAGUCAAUAUCUGUGAGUUGUCUAAAAGUGUAAUUUUCAAGGUCCCAGAAUAAUGUACCUUCAUACAGGUUCCCAGUUUUCCAUGAGAAAACAAUGACUAUGCUGUAUGGAGUGAACUUAGGAUGGUUAUAAUCCAUCUGCAACUUUGUGAUCUGUGUAUAUCAGCAUCUGAUUAUGUGUGAAAAAAAUUCCCCCCUCCUUUGGUCAUAAAGUUGCAGAUGGAUUAUAACCAU
rnacentral:misc_RNA from 1 species